rnacentral:rRNA from 1 species
UGGGGAAUUUUGGACAAUGGGCGAAAGCCUGAUCCAGCAAUGCCGCGUGUGUGAAGAAGGCCUUCGGGUUGUAAAGCACUUUUGUCCGGAAAGAAAUCCUUGGCUCUAAUACAGUCGGGGGAUGACGGUACCGGAAGAAUAAGCACCGGCUAACUACGUGCCAGCAGCCGCGGUAAUACGUAGGGUGCAAGCGUUAAUCGGAAUUACUGGGCGUAAAGCGUGCGCAGGCGGUUUGCUAAGACCGAUGUGAAAUCCCCGGGGCUCAACCUGGGAACUGCAUUGGUGACUGGCAGGCUAGAGUAUGGCAGAGGGGGGUAGAAUUCCACGUGUAGCAGUGAAAUGCGUAGAGAUGUGGAGGAAUACCGAUGGCGAAGGCAGCCCCCUGGGCCAAUACUGACGCUCAUGCACGAAAGCGUGGGGAGCAAACAGGAUUAGAUACCCUGGUAGUCCACGCCCUAAAACGAUGUCAACUAGUUGUUGGGGAUUCAUUUCCUUAGUAACGUAGCUAACGCGUGAAGUUGACCGCCUGGGGGAGUACGGUCGCAAGAUUAAAAACUUAAAGGAAUUGACGGGGUC